rnacentral:ncRNA from 1 species
GAUGAAUUACUUACGGAUGGUUCCGGGACGGCAGAUGCCGUUCCGGAUGAAAAGGGAAUGUGAAGGGACGGACCCAAGCCGGGCGUCUUAUCACAGCCGACCCCGCGACUGUAGAGCGGUCAGGGUCUUCCGUCCGGCGUUCAGGCCAUUUCACGGCUCCUUUCGCAUGUUGCGGAUCAGGUGAAGUGGCUGGGGCGCCGGAAAAGCCACUGGAAAUGCAUUGUGAUCAGCCGGGGCAGGACGCCUCUAUUUCUACGAAUCGUCCGCCUUUUCACGAGAAUGCAGCCGGGAAGGCGAGGAAGAUCCACUGGCGCGAUCAGGGGCGACCUUAGAUGGUCGCCCCGGUCGGCCGACACCCGCGAGCCAGGAGACCUGCCAUGCGUGCCGGGCGAAG